UUUCAUGAGAGUUUGAUCCUGGCUCAGGACGAACGCUGGCGGCGUGCCUAAUACAUGCAAGUCGAGCGAACCGACGAGGUGCUUGCACCUCGAACGUUAGCGGCGGACGGGUGAGUAACACGUAAGGAAUCUACCUAUAAGCGGGGGAUAACAUCCGGAAACGGGUGCUAAUACCGCAUAUGAGUCACUUUUGCAUAAUGGUGACUUAAAAGACGGCUCUGCUGUCACUUAUAGAUGACCUUGCGGUGCAUUAGUUAGUUGGUGGGGUAACGGCCUACCAAGACCAUGAUGCAUAGCCGACCUGAGAGGGUGAUCGGCCACA
rnacentral:rRNA from 2 species